GUCCCCGUAGUUCAAUGGACAGAACGAGAGAUUCCUAAUCUCCAAAUGGGGGUUCGAUUCCCUCCGGGGACACAA
rnacentral:tRNA from 1 species